UCCGUAAUACCUGUCGAACGUUGGUCGGUCGGUGGUACCUCGCAGUUCGAGUCGAUACGCGGCGACGUAAGCACGCGGUACCAUCGUACCCAUCGUACCGCAUUCGCCUGCGAAUGGCACUAGAAGAAUUCACGGGUCCGUUGUUUGCAAUCCCGUGGACUUGUGGUGCCAUCCCCAGAGCAAAUGGACCCAGCGAGACGUUCCACGCGAUUCGGGUUCCGCGAGUACGCAUGACGUCACCCUUGUCGGUACCGGUGCGCGAGUGCGAGUGUCCAGAAAGGUCGACGACGACGACGACGGCGACGGUUUUGCGCCUCCCAAAGGUUAAACGUCCAGUUCUGUUCUUUAUCUAUGCUGCCGGUUCGACAGUUGCGGCCCGUCAGCUGGACCUCAACUCCGUAGGCAAGAUGCGCGUAACGGAACCCGAGAUGACGCGAACGCGGCCGUAACUCUGCGAGACGACAAAGAGCCGUUUCGCAGGAAGCUCUCGCUACGACGCAGGAAGAUGACCGGAGCGUAGCGGAAGAAACUACGCCCUCCCCUGCCUAGUAUUAAUUUUGUUUUUCGUUUUUUAGGCACGGUCUCUUUAAUUUUUCGGGCGACAUAACGGGUGGCGACAACUCUGUAAGUACACACCUACAUUGUCUAUUAAUAUUGAAAAAAAAAAUUUGUUUUAGACUGGUUAUCGGUCAUUAUUUUAUACGAUUUUUUUCUGCAAAACGAUCAUUUACAACUGUAUAUUACUUCGAAACGGAUCUAGCCUGUCCUAUAUAAAAUUUCAACGACUUUUCGAUGAAAUCGGCAACGUCGCUUCAUUGAAAACCUCCAUGCGGUUAAUUUUUGCCGAGUGUACCUUCUCCCUGUCUCUCCCAUGUAUAGUCUGUCUCAAUCUUUGUCUAGCCAUUAACAACAAAUAUAUUUUUUUCUUUCUGAUAUAUUUCUUAACUUAACUUAACCUCACUUUUUGAAAAUUUUACUAAAAUUGCAACGAUAUAUGCCCUGUAGUUUUAAGUGGAAGAAGCAUUCAGUCCGUCAAGGUUGCCAGGUUUGCGCUGGGCCUCAGACGACAAAAAAUAGCGGCUGCUUUGUCCGUCUGAUAAUAUACAUAUAAAAAAGUAGGUAACAUAAAAUCAGCCGACCACGAUUUCGAGAGACUAAAGUUCCGUUUCAAUUCGGGCGAUACGCACAAUCGAUCAACCACCAUACUACGUCUGGAAACCGUUAAUUGACAGCAUGCACGGCCUGCUUUGACGAGAUAACCCUCGCGUAAAUUUUCAAACGUAACGGGAAAACACGUUAUCGGAAUAGUAUCACGUGUUUCUCGACGCGAUUAUGUUUCUGUGGUCUGCGAUCGCGGCCGACUACCUGCCCGUAGCAGAGAAAAACGAACCCGUAGAGAAUCAACGUAGCUCGUCGGGACCUGUGACGUUCGGGCAGCCAGUUUUGGUGAGCGUGAUUGAAUCGAGAGAAAUAGCUUCGUAUAAUGCUAAAAUACACAUAUAGUAGAACUGACGCGGCGAACCACUGAAUAAAAUACAAAUGAUCCGAAAAAUGAGUUUUAUUUAUUUCGUGGCUUGAAUCUCUUCAGUCUCUUUGUUCAGUGCACUGAACAACGGCUACAAUCCGUCCAUUAUAGAUAAAAUUAUAAAUAAAAAACAAAUCCAGACAAUAGUAAACUCUAUUUAUCCGAAACCUAAUACAGAAUACGAACACUUUAAAACAAUUACAAAAAUCAGGUGUCUACAGGUUGAAAUGCGGAUCUUGUCCUAAAAUUUAUAUUGGACAAACAGGUAGAUUCUUCAAGAAACGCAUUAACGAACAUAAAAGAGCGUUUAAAAGCAAUAGUCUACACACAAUACACACUUAAACACAGAGAAACACAUUUUUGACGACAAUUUUGAUAUUUUACAUUCAGCCACAAGAAGUAGAAAAUUAAAUUUAUUGGAAGCCUGUACUUUUUAAAAACUUUAUCUCUCACUUUAAUCAUAACUUUCGCAGAUUUUGUUAACCAUGAUGGUCUUUGCCUAUUAAUUUUGAAAGAAGCUAAAAAGUCAAAGAUAGUUUUCUUCUUCGGGUAUUGCUCGAGUAUUAACAAUUUGUUGCAAGAAUCAAUGCAAGAAAUAAAAUCCUGAAUACUCUUAUUUUCCAAAUCUGUCAAAUUUAAAUUGAAUUUAAAUGAACAGAUUUACCAAAACGUAUCAAAUAUUGGGCUUAAACAUGCAGCACAAGAAUAUUUAAGUAUUGUAAAAAAAAUAUCAGUUGCUUAUUAUAUUUUGCAGAGAAAAAAUGCUACUAUCUCAGAAGCUAUAGCGCAGUGGAAACAUUUACAACAUAUCUUCGAGAAUGUUGUAAAAUUACCUUUAUCAAAAAUACAAAAAAAUCGAGAUCAAUAUAAGCAAGUACUCGCGCCAUAUCAUAUUAUAGCAUAUAUGUUAAACCCACAAAAGGAAAAAUAUGAGUUGACACCCCAAGAAUCCUUAGCAACAAAUUAACAAUUUAAAAAUUAUUUAAAGCCAAAAGUAAAUAUAAAAAUCUACAAGCGUGUGUACUAUUUAAUUCAAUAUGUCAACCCAGAUUUGUAAACACGCCGAAUGUACAUUUGGUCAAAGUAUAAUGCUUCCAGGCCUCGUAUAGAUGGCGCUCCAUCCAUUAGUUAGUGGCAGAGACCACUAAUUGUAUUCCGUGGUUAUUAGUUAUCUGUGCCGGUCGCUCUCUGACGUUUAUUCGUACGUCGAUGUGUAUCGUGCAGCUUCCCGCUCGAAGGAAACAUAUUAAUUAAGAGCACGUAACUAGGUUUAAUUAAUCUCAGGCCUAUUUAGUAAUUGCGUUAGCGGGUUAAUUAAGACUUACCGCGGUAUAUAGUUUCGCGAUCGGUAUCGAAGGAGAGCGAGCUUUAAGAGAUUUAUACCCGGUAGCGGACUCGCGGCCGUCGACGUCAAAGACAUUAAAGCGAGACGCGGCAACGUCGCGUUCUGCCUGACGUAAUCACGCGGUUUACGUAUUAAAGGCGGCCACACGCGCGCGCGCUUGUCGUACGUUUUUCUUGCACAGCGUUAAAUCGUAAUGCAACCCUGAACAUCGUCAAUUCCAGACGUUUUUUCAUUCUGGUCUAUUAAAUCAAAGAUGGCUGUUCUCCGACAAACUCGGAGCUCCUUCGUAUCAGAUGAAAACAUUGGGUACUGACUAGUAUUUGGUUUCAAAUUUGUGCAGUUUCAGUUUCAUUUUUAAUCUUAUUUUAUUUAGUUUAGUUUUUAGAGGAAAAAAAAAAUAUUUGUUAAUAAAACAUUUGUUGUCUUUGCAACUUGCAUUACGAAGCAGCAACUUUAAAGUAUUAUAUAAUUUCCCAAUUAAAUAGGGGAAACAUAACAGUUUGGCAACGCUGUACCGCCGUAUUUCAUUUGGCGAUCACGGGUAAAAUUUCCGCAUCCGCUAUGCUCGAAAUAUGCCAAAUAUUUUUCAACAGUUCCUUUACUUAUGUUGGGUGCUUCGAAGGGACUGCUAGUAACUGUUUUAUGGAACUAAAUAUUAUACAUAAAAAAGUUUUAUUAUAAAACCUGUUCUAAAGUGAACACACAAUAAUAAAAAUGAUUUUUUUUUGUUUACUUUGCGUACUUCGGGUAAAUGCCAAUAGGUUUUGUUCUUAUUUAAAUUGAUUGUGGGAGAACUGACAUAUUGAAAUGUUCGAACUCCAAAAUUAUUAGAGCUAUGCAUUUACAUUAUUAUUAUUAUAUUACAUUUGUUAUUAUUAUUAUAUUGCAUUAUUAUAUUACAUUUACGUAGACCACAAAAAUGGAAUAAUAUAUGUUUCAAUUUAAUUCUUUUAUGUGUUAAAACUGACGCAUACUUUAUUUAUAUAAUGUCUCCAAAUUUGAGUAUCGUCAAUAAGGUAUCGUCUUUUGUUUUAGUUCAGUUUUUCUAAUUAUAGUAAGAUUAUAGUAAUUUUAGAAAAACGCUUUAAAAUCAAUGGUGAGGUGCAAGUGUAAAAUUUUCUUGUUUCUCAGCGAUAUUCAUCUAUGUUUGGGAACAGUAAAUUGUCCCGGCUCCUAACCUCACUUUUAUACAUUAACUUAUAAACUGAUGGAAAGUUGGAAUUAAUUUUAGAAUAGGAAAUGAUAUCCACUGGAUUUGGCUUUCUCUGUAAUUAAUUAUGGAUAAUUUGCAAACAAAAACCCGCGGUGUUACUUUCUAGGAGAAAAUGCCUGAUUACCAAUCAGAAGAAACUGCAGUGCUACAGAGAAUGAAGUGGGAACAUAACUGAAAGAAACAUAAUGCUUGAAAGGAAAUGAAAUUUUAAAAAACAAAAAAUGCGCUCUGGUUUCGCAAGAUUGAAUAUAGUUUGCUAGCUUGCGUUUUUAAGGAAACCGUGAUACUGUUGCAUUCAACGUACAACUUAUUAUUUCAAGUUUGAUGAAUAUGAAUUUAUAAAAUAUAAAUAUUUUUUAAUAAAAAUGUCCAUUGCCAAGUUCUGAAAUAUGUAUUUAUUGCCAAAAUAUUGACUACUUCUCAUACAUGCUGGUUUUUGUAAGUAUACUAGUAUAACAUUUUUAUUACUACAUAAACCUACCUAGACAUAAUAUCACAAAAACUAGCGGUCUGAUAUCCUACAUACAACAAAAAUAAAUAAGUAAGGUAACGAUUGUAUAUCGUUUUCACUAACUGAAUUGCCACUUCUCAGCUCACUCUAAAAAGAACAACCAAAACUAAGGGGGUUUGGAUAAAGGGAUCAUUGAUACAAAACAACCGACAAAACUUCCAUGAUGCAUGAAGAACGGACGAUCACCUGUUCUGACGAUUGACAGUUGUGAAAAGUCAGUAGCCGUGGUCCGUGACCGUCACGAUCAGAAUUUUAUUUUAUACUUUGUAGUAGGUUAUGUUUUAUUUACUUAUUUAUUACGACGAUUCUCGAAAAAGAUCCUCGAACCAGUCUGAUUAACAGGAUAUUUAUGUAAAGACAGUGUAUCUUUCGGUUUGAAUCAACAAUCUCUGUGUUCUGUGGCACGUGACUGUGUGUCACAAACAGCUGUAAGAACAAAACGGUCUAUCAAAUCCAUUGGCGUGUUUAGUUUUACGAAAAUAAAAGUUGAAAUCUUUCUACGAAGCGUGUUUUAUUUUCCCUAACAACGACGGCAUAACCGGCAGGGGUUCGCUAACGCAGGCGCACACAAAAUACGGCAUCGCAUCCUUUUACGGUCGCAAACAAAGUAACACGCAGUAAACACGAUUUUUAAGCGAACCCGGUCGAGCGAUUUCAUUAUUCGAAACGCCGUGACGUUCCGCUUCCUAUUACCUCGCUGUUAUUACGUUCCACAUUAAAACAAAAAACACGCGAUGUUAUUGUACGGCUGCAAACUACAAACGUUUCAAGGUAAAAACGAAUCUCGGACCGCGGUCGACUCGAAACCGCAUUUGUCGCGGCCAAUUUGCUUUUCAUCGAAAAUUUCCCAUGACUCGCGACGUCACGCGUAGAAAUAUGGACCGGACAGCGCGCGCACGCGCAAGACAGAUGGCAUUGUUUACGACGGGGCGCAAAUCUGUCGACGGACGGUGACAAUGUUGCCAGUGCCUCGCAUCGCUGCCGUUUUAGAACGAGUAAAACAUACACACCAAGAUUUUUAGGUUUAAAAACGUGUAGAUGAAUUAGAAACUCUGCUCGAUUCGUUAGCAGAGCCAAUAAACUUACAAGUGCGUCUUUUUUAUGGUUGGUAAUUUUAUCACGUGACAACGUCGCAAUGAACAGACGCUUACUCGAUUGUGGGGCGGUGUGCCGUGUUUAUAAACUAACCAAAAUUCUUUUGGAGCAAUAAUAUUAAAAAGACUGACAGUGAAAAUGCCGGGACGAUGCGAAAUUUGCACUAAACUUGGCGGUUAGGGGUGCAGUGUGUCAUUUCGCGCGUACAUUUGUUAUAUCGUAUAAUAACUGUGCACCGUAUUACGUAUUGUUUGAGAUUUUUCAAAAGUUGGGAUUCGAUUUUCAAAUUAAUCAUAUCAAUCAAUUAAAUCUAUCAAAAUCAAGUUUUGUUGUCAUGUCACAGAAAUUAUAUAGAAUAUAUAUUAAAA